GUUCCCACAGCAUAUGGAGGUUCCCAGGCUAGGGGUUGAAUCGGAGCUGUAGCUGCCGGCCUACGCCGGAGCCACAGCCAUGCAGGAUCCAAGCCGCGUCUGCAACCUACACCACAGCUCACGGCAACGCCGGAUCCUUCACCCACUGAGCAAGGCCAGGGAUCGAACCUGCAACCUCAUCGUUCCCAGUCGGAUUCGUUAACCACUGAGCCACAACGGAAACUCCCUUCCUGUGGUUUUAUUUUCUUUUUUUCUUUUUGGCUUUUUAGGGCCACACCCGCGGCAAUAUGGAGGUUCCCAGGCUAGUGGGCUAAUUGGAGCUGUGGCCAUUGGCCACAGCCACACCAGAUCUGAGCUGCGUCUGUGAGCUACACCACAGCUCACGGCAGCGCUGGAUCCUUCACCCACUGAGCGAGGUCAGGGAUCGAACCCGCAACCUCAUGGUUCUUAGAGUCAUUUCUGCUGCGCCACCACGGAAGCUCCCGUGGUUAGUUUUCUAUGAUUACUUUAACAAAUCACCACACACUCAAUGGCUUAAAACAGAGCACAUGGCAUGACAGGCAGGUGUUGUAGUUGAUUACGUAAAGAAAAGCCAAAAAGAUGGUGAGUUCCUAUGGGCUUAACAUCUUAGUCAAAAAGGAAAGCCGUCCCCAGAGGCCAACUCUGGGGACGUGCUUGUCUAAGUCCUCCCUCUUCUGUGAUUCCGUCUUUGACUCAGCCGUGGACAAAGGGGGACUGAGAGAAACGAGCCGCGUUGGCAUGAAGCAGAAGGGAGCGCGUGCUGCUCCGAGACUACAUUCACCUUCGAUUCAUUCGAGACCCCGCACGGCCCCCUGGGCAUCUCUGCGUUCACGCACAUGGAGAUGGGAAGGCGGGGAGUCAGCCUGAGGAAAAGAGAACAGAGACGCUGACACGCAGCUGAAAAAAAAGGCCACCUCUGCAACGUCAUCUGGGCAAGCACUGGGUCUGUGGCCACCCCUGUGCUUACAAAUCCUCGUGCGGCAAACUCAGGCAGGAAGCUUGGUCGGGUAAAGCCUAGACCGGCCUCACACAAGCCCUCCCCCGGGCUCUGCAGGGGUCUCUGUCACUUCUGUCCUUUCUGGCCUUGUGAUAAUUACUGAAAGCUCAGUUCCCAAGCAGUUCUGCUGCUCAUGACUCCCUACGCCGGUGCAGGGUUCCAAGAAGAGCUGAGCGAGGCUGAGAAACCCACGCUGCCAUUGCUUGAGGUCUUGCCUUGCUUUUAGCAAAACGUGGGGCAGCUUUCAGGGAAAACGGUUUGCAUUUUGCGAAAUUUAUUCCCAAGAAUUUUUUUUUUGUUCCAUGCAGUAGAGCUGUUGUCUUAGUUUCACUCAGCGGUUGCUCAUGGCAAGUCUAGAGAAUUAAAAGUGAUUUCUGCAUAGCGAUCUUGCAUCCUGCCAGCUGGCGGAAUGGACUUACUGCUUCUAAUACGAUCUGGUGGAUACCUUAGCAUUGUCUACAUUCAGGCUACUGUCGUCUAGGAACAGAAACUGUUUCACUUCCUCCUUUGUACUCACAUCAUCACCGUCCCCACUGCCCAGCAGGGCUCCCAUCAGAAUUUCUAUAGCGGGAGUUCCCAUCAUGGCGCAGAGGAAAUGCAUCCAACUAGGAAUCCGUGAGGUCGCGGGUUCAAUCCCUGGUCUCUGCUCAGUGGAUGAAGGAUCCCACAUUGCUGUGGUGGUGGCGUAGGCCGGCAGCUGUAGCUCUGAUUGGAUCCCUGGCCUGGGAACCUCCCUAUGCUGUGGGUGCGGCCCUGAAAAAAGCAAAAAAAGAAAAAAAAAAAAAAAAAAAAGGAAUUUCUAUAGCAGCAGAAAGAUUUUUUUUUUUCCCAGUGCUCUUGUUGCAAGGCCAUUUCCAGGUCCUUGUAAUACCGUAGGAAUAAACACUGCUUCCACGAGGCUCUCAGGCAAGCAAGACUUUUUAUUAAAGGAGGCACAAGGGAGAAGGUAGGGAUAAAAGGGCCAGCUCCUCAAGAGAAGGGGCAGGUUGCUUUUUAUAACAAAAGGGGUUGUCUCAGGAUUACCGAUAAUUUCCAGAAACCAUCCAGCGUCUCUUAUCAGCAGCAGGCGGCUCCAUGAUGACUGCUGGGAUGAGGGGACCGCUUCUGUUGUAGGGGGAGGAAUGCAUGGGAAUUUUUUUGCAGGAAAGCACAGGAAGAGAUAAGGACAAAUUCAGGGUGGAGCUUGUCUUGUGGCAACGAGGUAUUUUUGUGAGCUUAACAGAGAAAACGUGAAUCUUUCACUCCUGGGAGCCUGGUUUUUGUCUCUGGGACCCAGGCUUCUUUAGCCAGCAAGGCCUCUUGCCCAACGCCGCUGUUCCCCCGUCCGUUUCCCAAAUGGCUGUGCUCUUGUCGUCCUGUGUCACUCUCAGCCCAGCAGCCCCAAACCCAGGAGCCGCAGAGGAUAAAAGGCUAACUUCCUGCUUGGAGAUGCUGGGGUGGGAGACGUGCAGUGAGAAGAAAACCAGGCUGGGAGCCAUGCGCAGGUGCAGCCCCUCCGCUGUGUGACCUGUCGCUGGGGCAGGAGAGUCCUAGGAGGAGGAACGGGGUCUGCUCGGGGACUCCCGGCGCUGAUGCAGGGCCUGGCCUUGGGAGGUGCUCGGUACGCUUUGCGGCAGUGGAGGGAGGACCCAGCCAGGAAAACAUCAGGGUACAGAUGCCACAAAGGUGUGUUCUGUCUGUAAACCGUUUCAAAGGCACAGAAACGCUCCAAGAAUCAGAAUAAUACAAAGAGCAUUUGUUUACCGUUUCCUCUACACACAUUCUGUUUCCAACAUUUUGUCCCAUUCGCUUUAAUAGAGAUCACAAAAUAAUAUAAUUGCAUUUAUUUAUUUUUGUCUUUUUAGGGCCGCACCUGUAGCAUAUGGAAGUUUCCAGGUUAGGGGGUCCAAUCAGAGCUGUAGCCGCCAGCCUACACCACAGCCACAGCCAUGCAGGAUCUGAGUCCCAUUUGCGACAUACACCACAGCUCACGGCAACGCCGGAUCCUUAACCCACUGAGCAAGGCCGGGGAUCAAACCUGCCACCUCAUGGAUGCUAAUCAGAUUUGUUUCUGCUGAGCCAUGGUAGGAACCCCCUCACUGAGGUUUUGAAAACGCAGAUUAUAAUUUCAUCAAAUUUAGGAAGAGUUUGGCUUUAUUUAUUUAUUUUGUCUUUUUAGGGCUGCACCCAUGGCAUGUCGAGGUUCCCAGGCUAGGGGUCUAAUGGGAGCUGUGGGUGCCAACCUAUGCCACAGCCACAGCAACGCCGGAUCCUUAACCCACUGAGCGAGACCGGGGAUCGAACCCACAAUCUCAUGGUUCCCAGUCAGAUUCAUUUCUGCUAUGCCACAACAGGAACUCCUGUUUUUGAUUUUUUAAAAUAUUUUCCCCUCCUCCUCUGUCCCACCCCUCUCUGCCUCUUCUGGGUUCUCCUAAUGCAUAUAAGGAUGUGUUUGGUGGUGUUCCCAUCCUUCAGGCUCUGUUCAUUUGUCCCUCCGAUGUUUUCUUUCUGCGCCUCAGAUGGGAUGGUUACACAGGCUCUAUUUUAAGCUGCCGAUUCUGUCCUCUGCGUGCUCAGAUCUGGCUCUGAUCCCCCAGCAAACGUGGUACUCUUCAAUCCAAUAUUUCCUUUUCAUCAUUUAUGUCCUUUUUAGUAAUGUUCUCCAUUUGUUCCUACAUCAGUCUUGUAGAUUUCUUUAGCUUUUUAAGCAUAUUGAAAACAACUGCUUUCAAGUAUUUGUCUAGUAAGUUGACUCUCUGGGCUUUGUCAGGGGCAAUUUCUCUCCAUUGCUUUGUGUGUGUGGGGAAAUGAGACAUACUCCCCCCACCCCUUUGCUUUCCUUGUCAUUUUUUGCUGUUUGAACACUGGAUGUUCUGUUAUAAAGUGGUAACUCUGAAAAUCAGAUUCUUCCCUUUUCCCAGAGUUUGUUGUUAUUGAUUGCUGAGAACUGAACAUUUUCUGUUUUGUUUGCUUUUCAGUGACUUUUUCCAAACUAUUUUGUAAGAACUACUCCUUGCCACAUGUCGUGACUGAACUCUCUGUUCUAUUAUCUCAGUGGACAGAGACUUGCAUGAUGCCCGGAGCCAAAAAGAAGAAAAAAACAUAAGCCUUCUCUCCGUCUUCGCAGAUGGGAUCUGACCUCGGGUGCUCCCGUGACGUUUGGUCAGGCCGCCUAGAGCUCUGCUUCGUCUCCUGUGUGUGCAGGGCCCAGUGGUCAGCUAGACUUGCAAGCCAGGGUCCUGGGAGGUCUUUCUCGCGUGUAUGCCUCUGGCGCUGGGCAUGUUCUUCGCAGUCCGAAUAGGCUGGGAUAAGCUAUAGUCCUUCAGAG
rnacentral:lncRNA from 1 species